GCACUGCUGACGAAUCCCAAACAGGACGAAACAGCCGUUCAAUGC
rnacentral:hammerhead_ribozyme from 1 species